GACGAACGCUGGCGGCGUGCCUAAUACAUGCAAGUAGAACGCACAGUUUAUACCGUAGCUUGCUACACCAUAGACUGUGAGUUGCGAACGGGUGAGUAACGCGUAGGUAACCUGCCUGGUAGCGGGGGAUAACUAUUGGAAACGAUAGCUAAUACCGCAUAAUAUUAAUUAUUGCAUGAUAAUUAAUUGAAAGGUGCAAUUGCACCACUACCAGAUGGACCUGCGUUGUAUUAGCUAGUAGGUGAGGUAACGGCUCACCUAGGCGACGAUACAUAGCCGAACUGGGAGGGUGAUCGGCCACACUUGGACUGGGACACGGCCCAGACUUCUACGGGAGGCAGCAGGAGGGGAUCUUCGGCAAUGGACGAAAGUCUGACCGAGCAACGCCGCGGGAGGGAAGAAGGUUUUCGGAUCGUAAAGGUCUGGUGUAAGAGGAGAACGGGUGUGAGAGUGGAAAGUUCACACUGUGACGGUAUCUUACCAGAAAGGGACGGCUAACUACGUG
rnacentral:rRNA from 1 species